CUACGGGGCGCUCCAGUGGGGAAUCUUGCGCAAUGGACGAAAGUCUGACGCAGCCACGCCGCGUGAGUGAAGAAGGCCUUCGGGUUGUAAAGCUCUGUCACCUGGGACGAAAACGCUUAAGGUUAAUAGCCUUAGGAAUUGACGGUACCAGGGGAGGAAGCACCGGCUAACUUCGUGCCAGCAGCCGCGGUAAUACGAAGGGUGCAAGCGUUGCUCGGAAUUAUUGGGCGUAAAGGGUUGGUAGGUGGUCUUGUUUGUCUAAGGUGAAAUCCCAUGGCUUAACUGUGGAAGUGCCUUAGAAACGGCAAGACUAGAGUCCUAGAGGGGUUUGUGGAAUUCCCGGUGUAGCGGUGAAAUGCGUAGAGAUCGGGAGGAACACCAGAGGCGAAGGCGGCAAACUGGAUAGGUACUGACACUGAACAACGAAAGCGUGGGGAGCAAACAGGAUUAGAUACCCUAGUAGUC
rnacentral:rRNA from 1 species